UUUCGCAUCUAAGCUAAUUCUCAUUGCAAUCGACCAACUGUUAUAGUUACUACCAUCCAGAAUAUGAGCUACAAUAGAUAAACCUGGAUGAUCGGAGGAAUGGAGGAGCAGUGGGUUUUCACCAGAGUCAGAAACCUUAAACCCAUUUCCACCAUAAACGUCCGAUCGUUGAGCUAGCUGUUGUUUCAGUGUCGUGAGCUUCUGAUCUUCAAGGAUUGCUGCUUCACGAACAGAUCUGACAGCUGAACCUUCAUCAUCAGGUGUAGAACCGCGAGUCUUCAUUUUUCCUCCCUUCUUCACCAUUUUUCUUCAAAUCCAAGGUCGCGGAAAGACAAUCGGAGAAGAAAGAAGAUCAGAAAAGGUGUGAUUAAGAAGAAAUUGAAGAAACGAUGGUGAAAAUCACCAGAUUUGUGUGAGGAAAUGCUCUGAUACCAUAUUAGAAAUCAUGAACAAAGAGAAUUGUAGAAUGAUUUUCUAUUUCCUCGAAGAAUAAAUGUGUUACAAUGAGAGUAUAUAUACAAUUACUCUAAACCAUCUAAACCAAUGUACAAUCUCUAAAUAGCUAAACCAAUCUAAUCAAACCGGAAUACUAUAUACAAUCUAAUAGUAUAAGAGACAAGAGCUUAGGCAGUCAAAUGUUUGUGCAAGUUUAAGGCGAAAUCAAAAAGAGUAAGGAAGCGAAAAAAGAGAAGAGGAAACGAGAGGAGAAGCUAAUGGCGGUGAUACAUCCUGAGAGAAAUGCAAAGAAGAAACUCAAGUUAGCUGCAAAGAACAAGGCUAACAAGAAAAGAAGGAUUAUGAGCAAUAAAAUGGAUAGAUGGUCACACUCUUAAGCUCCCAUAACCACAUUAAACCAUUUUUGUUUAUGUUAACAUAGAAAUUAUUAUUUGAGAUUAGACUUUUUCAGGUAUUUAUGAUCCAUUUUUGGUCUGUUACAAUCCAAUUCUAAACCAUUGCAUUUAACUUGUUUCUUAGCAGAAAAAAAUUCCGACAUUUAUUUGAUUACAUAAACUUAAAAGAGAUAAACUUUAUUAAAUUAUGAUUACUAAAAAAAAUAUUUAACAAGAUUAUCAAUAUGAUUACGUCUGUUAAAAACAAAAAAGGAAUUUGCCACGUGGCGAC
rnacentral:sRNA from 1 species